rfam:Malonomonas rubra DSM 5091 genome assembly, contig: EJ68DRAFT_scaffold00025.25
UGCUUUUUUCGCCCAGGCGGAGCUCGACCGCAAACCGAAGUAAUGGUGUUUUUUAUUGAUGAGCAUCGAAGCCAAUACGGGGUCGAGCCGAUCUGUCGCCAGUUACCGAUCGCCCCA